CCUACGGGUGGCAGCAGUGGGGAAUAUUGGGCAAUGGGCGGAAGCCUGACCCAGCGACGCCGCGUGAAGGAUGAAGGCCUUCGGGUUGUAAACUUCUUUGGAUGGGGACGAAGAAGUGACGGUACCCAUCGAACAAGCCACGGCUAACUACGUGCCAGCAGCCGCGGUAAUACGUAGGUGGCAAGCGUUGUCCGGAUUUACUGGGUGUAAAGGGCGCGUAGGCGGGAAUGCAAGUCAGAUGUGAAAUCCAUGGGCUCAACCCAUGAACUGCAUUUGAAACUGUGUUUCUUGAGUGAUGGAGAGGCAGGCGGAAUUCCUAGUGUAGCGGUGAAAUGCGUAGAUAUUAGGAGGAACACCAGUGGCGAAGGCGGCCUGCUGGACAUCAACUGACGCUGAUGCGCGAAAGCGCGGGGAGCAAACAGGAUUAGAUACCCCUGUAG
rnacentral:rRNA from 1 species